ACGCACGCUGGCGGCGUGCUUCACACAUGCAAGUCGAACGGAAAGGCUCCAGCUUGCUGGAGUACUCGAGUGGCGAACGGGUGAGUAACACGUGGGUGAUCUGCCCUGCACUUCGGGAUAAGCCUGGGAAACUGGGUCUAAUACCGGAUAGGACCGCACUUUGGUGUGUGUGGUGGAAAGGUUUUUCUGGUGUGGGAUGAGCUCGCGGCCUAUCCGUUUGUUGUUGGGGUAAUGGCCUACCAAGACGGCGACGGGUAGCCGACCUGGGAGGGUGGACGGUCACAUUGGGACUGAGAUACGGCCCAGACUCCUACGGGAGGCAGAAGUGGGGAAGAUUGCACAAGGGGGGAAACCCGGAUGCAGCGACGCCGCGGGGGGGAUGAAGGCCUUCGGGUUGUAAACUCCUUUCGCUAGGGACGAAGCUUUUUGUGACGGUACCUGGAGAAGAAGCACCGGCUAACUACGUG
rnacentral:rRNA from 1 species